rnacentral:rRNA from 1 species
AACGAACGCUGGCGGCAGGCCUAACACAUGCAAGUCGAGCGCGCCCUUCGGGGUUAGCGGCGGACGGGUGAGUAACGCGUGGGAACGUGCCCUUUUCUACGGAAUAGCCUCGGGAAACUGAGAGUAAUACCGUAUACGCCCUUUGGGGGAAAGAUUUAUCGGAAAAGGAUCGGCCCGCGUUGGAUUAGGUAGUUGGUGGGGUAAUGGCCUACCAAGCCGACGAUCCAUAGCUGGUUUGAGAGGAUGAUCAGCCACACUGGGACUGAGACACGGCCCAGACUCCUACGGGAGGCAGCAGUGGGGAAUCUUAGACAAUGGGGGCAAUCCUGAUCUAGCCAUGCCGCGUGAGUGAUGAAGGCCUGAGGGUUGUAAAGCUCUUUCAGCUGGGAAGAUAAUGACGGUACCAGCAGAAGAAGCCCCGGCUAACUCCGUG